rnacentral:rRNA from 1 species
UGAGGAAUAUUGGUCAAUGGGCGAGAGCCUGAACCAGCCAAGUAGCGUGCAGGAUGACGGCCCUAUGGGUUGUAAACUGCUUUUAUAAGGGAAUAAAGUGAGAGUCGUGACUCUUUUGCAUGUACCUUAUGAAUAAGGACCGGCUAAUUCCGUGCCAGCAGCCGCGGUAAUACGGAAGGUCCGGGCGUUAUCCGGAUUUAUUGGGUUUAAAGGGAGCGUAGGCCGCAGGUUAAGCGUGUUGUGAAAUGUAGGGGCUCAACCUCUGCACUGCAGCGCGAACUGGCUUGCUUGAGUACGCACAACGUGGGCGGAAUUCGUGGUGUAGCGGUGAAAUGCUUAGAUAUCACGAAGAACUCCGAUUGCGAAGGCAGCUCACGGGAGCGCAACUGACGCUGAAGCUCGAAAGUGCGGGUAUCGAACAGGAUUAGAUACCCUGGUAGU